rnacentral:lncRNA from 1 species
CUGCAGGAAACAUUAACUGUUAUAAACCCGGGAAUCUUUCAGAUACUUAAUGUAUUUGCAUGUAUGCCGGUCUCGACGGCAACGGCAGAACGGUCUUUUAGUACCAUGAGAAGAGUGAAGACCUACUUGAGAAAUACAAUGAAAACGAAUCGUUUAUCUGGACUCGGUCUUUUGAACAUAUACUGAGAAAAAAAAUUAAAGCAGACACGGUUUUGGACAUCUUUAGUAGAAAAAAAGAAAGGAAAUGGGCAUUGAUUUUUCAGAAUUAACUUUGAGAGAAAAAAA